rnacentral:rRNA from 1 species
UGGGGAAUAUUGGACAAUGGGCGAAAGCCUGAUCCAGCCAUGCCGCGUGUGUGAAGAAGGCCUUUUGGUUGUAAAGCACUUUAAGCAGUGAAGAAGACUCCAUGGUUAAUACCCAUGGACGAUGACAUUAGCUGCAGAAUAAGCACCGGCUAACUCUGUGCCAGCAGCCGCGGUAAUACAGAGGGUGCAAGCGUUAAUCGGAAUUACUGGGCGUAAAGCGAGCGUAGGGGGCUUGAUAAGUCAGAUGUGAAAGCCCCGGGCUUAACCUGGGAACGGCAUCUGAUACUGUUAGGCUAGAGUAGGUGAGAGGAAGGUAGAAUUCCAGGUGUAGCGGUGAAAUGCGUAGAGAUCUGGAGGAAUACCGAUGGCGAAGGCAGCCUUCUGGCAUCAUACUGACACUGAGGUUCGAAAGCGUGGGUAGCAAACA